UACAGAGGGGGCAAGCGUUAAUCGGAAUUACUGGGCGUAAAGCGUGCGCAGGCGGUUUGUUAAGUCCGUUGUGAAAGCCCCGAGCUCAACUUGGGAAUUGCAGUGGAUACUGGCAGGCUGGAGUACGGUAGAGGAAGGUGGAAUUCCCGGUGUAGCAGUGAAAUGCGUAGAGAUCGGGAGGAACACCAGUGGCGAAGGCGGCCUCUCGGACCAGUACUGACGCUCAUGCACGAAAGCGUGGGGAGCAAACAGG
rnacentral:rRNA from 1 species